rnacentral:rRNA from 1 species
CGGGGAAUUUUGGACAAUGGGCGAAAGCCUGAUCCAGCAAUGCCGCGUGUGUGAAGAAGGCCUUCGGGUUGUAAAGCACUUUUGUCCGGAAAGAAAUCCUUGGCUCUAAUACAGUCGGGGGAUGACGGUACCGGAAGAAUAAGCACCGGCUAACUACGUGCCAGCAGCCGCGGUAAUACGUAGGGUGCAAGCGUUAAUCGGAAUUACUGGGCGUAAAGCGUGCGCAGGUGGUUUGCUAAGACCGAUGUGAAAUCCCCGGGCUCAACCUGGGAACUGCAUUGGUGACUGGCAGGCUAGAGUAUGGCAGAGGGGGGUAGAAUUCCACGUGUAGCAGUGAAAUGCGUAGAGAUGUGGAGGAAUACCGAUGGCGAAGGCAGCCCCCUGGGCCAAUACUGACGCUCAUGCACGAAAGCGUGGGGAGCAAACAGGAUUAGAUACCCUGGUAGUCCACGCCCUAAACGAUGUCAACUAGUUGUUGGGGAUUCAUUCCUUAGUAACGUAGCUAACGCGUGAAGUUGACCGCCUGGGGAGUACGGUCGCAAGAUUAAAACUUAAAUGAAUUGACGGGGUCAUAGCUGUUUCCU